rnacentral:rRNA from 1 species
AGGUUACUGCUAUCGGUGUUCGCCUAAGCCAUGCGAGUCAUAUGUUCGUAAGAACAUGGCGUACUGCUCAGUAACACGUGGAUAACCUGCCCUUGGGUCCGGCAUAACCCCGGGAAACUGGGGAUAAUUCCGGAUAACGCACAUAUGCUGGAAUGCUUUAUGCGUAAAAUGGAUUCGUCUGCCCAAGGAUGGGUCUGCGGCCUAUCAGGUAGUAGUGGGUGUAAUGUACCUACUAGCCUGCGACGGGUACGGGUUGUGAGAGCAAGAGCCCGGAGAUGGAUUCUGAGACAUGAAUCCAGGCCCUACGGGGCGCAGCAGGCGCGAAAACUUUACAAUGCGGGAAACCGUGAUAAGGGGACACCGAGUGCCAGCAUCCUAUGCUGGCUGUCCGGGUGUGUAAAAUACACCUGUUAGCAAGGGCCGGGCAAGACCGGUGCCAGCCGCCGCGGUAACACCGGCGGCCCGAGUGGUGAUCGUGAUUAUUGGGUCUAAAGGGUCCGUAGCCGGUUUGGUCAGUCCUCCGGGAAAUCUGACAGCUUAACUGUUAGGCUUUCGGAGGAUACUGCCAGACUUGGAACCGGGAGAGGUAAGAGGUACUACAGGGGUAGGAGUGAAAUCUUGUAAUCCCUGUGGGACCUCCUGUGGCGAAGGCGUCUUACCAGAACGGGUUCGACGGUGAGGGACGAAAGCUGGGGGCACGAACCGGAUUGGAUACCCGGGUAGUCCCAGCCGUAAACGAUGCUCGCUAGGUGUCAGGCAUGGCGCGACCGUGUCUGGUGCCGCAGGGAAGCCGUGAAGCGAGCCACCUGGGAAGUACGGCCGCAAGGCUGAAACUUAA